rnacentral:rRNA from 1 species
GACGAACGCUGGCGGCGUGCCUAAUACAUGCCAGUAGAACGCUGAAGGAGGAGCUUGCUUCUCUGGAUGAGUUGCGAACGGGUAAGUAACGCGUAGGUAACCUGCCUGGUAGCGGGGGAUAACUAUUGGAAACGAUAGCUAAUACCGCAUAAUAGUAGAUGUUGCAUGACAUUUGCUUAAAAGGUGCAAUUGCAUCACUACCAGAUGGACCUGCGUUGUAUUAGCUAGUUGGUGGGGUAACGGCUCACCAAGGCGACGAUACAUAGCCGACCUGAGAGGGUGAUCGGCCACACUGGGACUGAGACACGGCCCAGACUCCUACGGGAGGCAGCAGUAGGGAAUCUUCGGCAAUGGACGGAAGUCUGACCGAGCAACGCCGCGUGAGUGAAGAAGGUUUUCGGAUCGUAAAGCUCUGUUGUAAGAGAAGAACGAGUGUGAGAGUGGAAAGUUCACACUGUGACGGUAUCUUACCAGAAAGGGACGGCUAACUACGUG